UAUAGGCAGAAUCUCAAGAUUAAGUAACUUUGAUGCUUCUCUGAAGUUGCUCGCUACUUGAUUUGCUCCAUUGUACAUGAGGCUGAACAGAACAUUCAGGCUUUGGCACAUCUUGAAAACGGGCUUGCCAUUUAGCCCGGUUUGCCUGUACUAUAUGGAACUGAAGCUGAUUAAUUAUGCACACAUCCAUCCAUGGGAGGAUUAGGAGAAGGGAUAUUUCUUCUUCUUCUUCAGGCAGACACUGAUGGUAAAACUCUAAGGCAGACGCAGCCUGAUGAGCCGUGUACAUCAGCAUCCUUCAAGUGCAGGCGUUCGUAUUCCGAGAUAUUUGGAGGAGGUUCUGAGAUGAUGUUGCCUAGCGUGGUGUUGUGCGGUGCGGUGCCUGGCGUGCUGCUGGACACAGGCAGCAAGGAGGUGAAUCAUUCGGACAAGGAAGGAAGACGACAGACAAAGAGGAGGGAAUGGGGGAAGGUUAGAUUUCCUCUAAUUCCAUCUUAACCCUUUGCAAAUUCGUCAGGUCCUGCGAGAUACCAACCUCCAAUCACAACAUCAAGACCAAGAAUUUCAGAUAGCGAUUCAAUGAACCUUAAGAUAGAUUUUAGUUAUGUUAGAUGAAUUAAGCCAAUUUCUUCGAUGAAUUUCUGAGAUUAAUUGGUGAGGGAUCUAAGCCUGGUCGGCGAAACUUGUAGGUUUCAUUCCAAUCUGAUUACAAUGGCGCUGGUUUCAUUCCAAUCCGAUUAGCGGUUUAGAAGAUAUCCUCAAAAAAGUGUGGUUGUUAUGAUAGGAAACAUGUGCGCAAGAACCUUUCGUGUAUUUUCUACUAAGUUAUAGCCAGAUUUCGACCCGACUGCUUAAA